CAGGACUCAGGGGCAGGAAAACCCCACGAAACCAGAACUGCUCAUAUCCGUAGCAGGUCAUGAAGAACCCUAGAGAACCACCCGACCUGAUCCAUCGCUUCUUCCGAGACACGAGAUCCAGCCCGGCUCUCCUGCCACUGGCCUGAGACUUCCUGCCAACAGAGCCCUCACUUUCUUACCUCCUCCCAGGGAGCCAGUCUGGGGACGGGAUGGCACUCCUGGAAGCGAUCCUCUUCUCCUCCCUCUGGGCUUUUGGCCUUGGGCAAUUAAAGUUGGAGCAACCUGAAAUAUCAGUUACUGGAGUAAGAGAUAAGAGUGUACUUAUAUCUUGCAAGGUGUCCUCUGGAGACUUUAGCAACGAAUACAUCCACUGGUACCGGCAUAAACCAAAUCAGGGUAUAGAACAUCUAGCAUACGUCGUAACAGCCCCUGCUCUAAAAGACUUAGGAGGGAAGAAAAACAAGAUUGAGGCCAGAAAAGACGCCCCCACUUCCACUUCUACCUUGAAAAUAAGAUUCUUAGCGAAAGAAGAUGAGGCCACGUACUACUGUGCCUGGUGGUUACCUGGUUAAUACAUAAAAAUUUUC